AUUGAACGCUGGCGGCAUGCUUUACACAUGCAAGUCGAACGGCAGCGCGGGCUUCGGCCUGGCUGCGAGUGGCGAACGGGUGAGUAAUGCAUGGGAACGUGCCCAGUUGCGGGGGCUAGCCCGGCGAAAGCCGGAAUAAUACGGCAUACGACCUGAGGGUGAAAGCGGGGGACCGAAAGGCCUUGCGCCAUUGGAGCGGCCGAUGUCGGAUUAGCGAGUUGGUGGGGUAAAGGCUUACCAAGGCGACGAUCCGUAGCUGGUCUGAGAGGAUGACCAGCCACACUGGGACUGAGACACGGCCCAGACUCCUACGGGAGGCAGCAGUGGGGAAUUUUGGACAAUGGGGGCAACCCUGAUCCAGCCAUGCCGCGUGCGUGAAGAAGGCCUUCGGGUUGUAAACCGCUUUUGUUCGGGAAGAAAUCCUCUAGGCUAAUACCCCGGUGUGAUGACGGUACCGAAAGAAUAAGCACCGGCUAACUUCGUG
rnacentral:rRNA from 1 species